AAAAAAAUGAUUUUUUUCAUUUCUUUUUUGUUAUUUUAUGUCUCAUUAACAAGAAUUGACUUGGUCAAUUUGGGUAGGCAAAUUAAAAUUGUAUUUUGACAUCAUGAUGAUGUCAUCCAAUGAGGUAAGCAUGAGUUAAUAAACUUUUUUAAAUUUUCUUUUUUCUUUUAUAUUUAUUUUUUUCAUUAGUUCUUUAAUUUA
rnacentral:misc_RNA from 1 species